ACACAUGCAAGUCGAACGGUAACAGGAAGCAGCUUGCUGCUUCGCUGACGAGUGGCGGACGGGUGAGUAAUGUCUGGGAAGCUGCCUGAUGGAGGGGGAUAACUACUGGAAACGGUAGCUAAUACCGCAUAAUGUCGCAAGACCAAAGAGGGGGACCUCCGGGCCUCUUGCCAUCGGAUGUGCCCAGAUGGGAUUAGCUUGUUGGUGGGGUAACGGCUCACCAAGGCGACGAUCCCUAGCUGGUCUGAGAGGAUGACCAGCCACACUGGAACUGAGACACGGUCCAGACUCCUACGGGAGGCAGCAGUGGGGAAUAUUGCACAAUGGGCGCAAGCCUGAUGCAGCCAUGCCGCGUGUAUGAAGAAGGCCUUCGGGUUGUAAAGUACUUUCAGCGGGGAGGAAGGGAGUAAAGUUAAUACCUUUGCUCAUUGACGUUACCCGCAGAAGAAGCACCGGCUAACUCCGUGCCAGCAGCCGCGGUAAUACGGAGGGUGCAAGCGUUAAUCGGAAUUACUGGGCGUAAAGCGCACGCAGGCGGUUAGUUAAGUCAGAUGUGAAAUCCCCGGGCUCAACCUGGGAACUGCAUCUGAUACUGGCAAGCUUGAGUCUCG
rnacentral:rRNA from 1 species